rnacentral:rRNA from 1 species
ACUCCUACGGGAGGCAGCAGUGGGGAAUAUUGCACAAUGGGGGAAACCCUGAUGCAGCCAUGCCGCGUGUGUGAAGAAGGCCUUCGGGUUGUAAAGCACUUUCAGUAGGGAGGAAGGUAGUGUAGUUAACACCUGCACUAUUUGACGUUACCUACAGAAGAAGCACCGGCUAACUCCGUGCCAGCAGCCGCGGUAAUACGGAGGGUGCGAGCGUUAAUCGGAAUUACUGGGCGUAAAGCGCAUGCAGGCGGCCUGUUAAGUCAGAUGUGAAAGCCCGGGGCUUAACCUCGGAAUUGCAUUUGAAACUGGCAGGCUAGAGUCUUGUAGAGGGGGGUAGAAUUUCAGGUGUAGCGGUGAAAUGCGUAGAGAUCUGAAGGAAUACCAGUGGCGAAGGCGGCCCCCUGGACAAAGACUGACGCUCAGAUGCGAAAGCU